AUUGAACGCUGGCGGCAUGCUUUACACAUGCAAGUCGAACGGUAACAGGGAGCUUGCUCCGCUGACGAGCGGCGAACGGGUGAGUAAUAUAUCGGAACGUACCCAAGAGUGGGGGAUAACGUAGCGAAAGUUACGCUAAUACCGCAUACGAUCCAAGGAUGAAAGCAGGGGAUCUUCGGAUCUUGUGCUCCUGGAGCGGCCGAUAUCUGAUUAGAUAGUGGGUGAGGUAAAGGCUCACCAAGGCGACGAUAAGUAGUUGGUCUGAGAGGACGCCCAGCCACACUGGAACUGUGACGCGGUCCAGACUCCUACGGGAGGCAGCAGUGGGGAAUUUUGGACAAUGGGCGCAAGCCUGAUCCAGCAAUGCCACGUGAGUGAAGAAGGCCUUCGGGUUGUAAAGCUCUUUUGUCAGGGAAGAAACGGGAGUGGCUAAUAUCCAUUCCUAAUGACGGUACCUGAAGAAUAAGCACCGGCUAACUACGUGCCAGCAGCCGCCGUAA
rnacentral:rRNA from 1 species